UUGAAAGUUUUGUUAUUAAAAUAAAUUUAUAACUAUUAAUUUAUUAUAUCAUAUGAUUUAUUUACUAUUGAAAUAAAUGUGUAAUUUUUUAUUUAUUAUAUCAUAUUUGUUAAAAAAAUUAAUGUGCAAAAAUUAUUUUAAAAACAUUUUAAUGGUAAAUAUUAAAAAAUAUAUUUAUCAAUUAAAAAAAUAGUUAAUGACUUUUAUGAAAUAAAAAAAUAACAAAACGAGGAUCCUAUCAGCUCAUGUGCAGUACUGGUUCAGUUCCAAUUGUUAACAAAUCCACUGUCUAACUGCAAUUUUUUAAAGGUUAUUUUUGUCAAUUAAUAAAAAAUAACAUUAUAGUUUAUAAAUAAUUUUAAUUAUAUAACCAAUACAAAAUAUAGUCAAUAAAUAUUUUAUUAGUUAUGUUACACUCUAACCUUUAAAUAAUAAAACAUGCUAACCUGAAACUAAACUGACAGAUUUCCAUGGUAGAAAGAAUUAGUUGAAUUCAAUAGCUACUAGAGCCAUAAUUCUUCCUCUUUCUAAUAUAUAUUUAUUCUACGUAAAUUCUAAAAGUUUCCAAGUGGUACAACACAACUAUCGUAAGAAACCAACAAUCAAAAAUCAAGCACUAAGCUUGUAAUAUCAAAACAAUCAAGGGUAUUUAUUCAGUAAGUGACAUUAUUUAAAUAAUAAAAUAGUAUUACCAAAGAACGACGACUCAAAACUCAACUGUGUUUCCAACUGCAGGAAAAUUUACCUACCUUGGACUGCACCUAAAGGCUGCCUACGUACCACCUAAGAAGAAGGAUCAAGCCCACGUAGCUCUUAGUAUGUAUGAUAAACUUAGUGUUAUAACUUCACUCAAUUGAAUUAUCCAUAUAACAAUGGAACUCCCACUAUUAGCAUGUUAUCUAAAAGUCUCUAAAGUUCUACUAAAAUUUUGACAUCUCACUUAAACUAGGAUUGUUUUGUUUCCCCCUAUCAAAAUUUCUUUUACAUACAAUCUUAAGCAAGCACCAUAAUCACAAGCUUUAAGGCUUAAGUCCAAUAGUUCACAUAUUAUAGUCCAUCAUUUAAGACAAGAAAAAUAAAUGUCUCCAGUGAGAAAUACAACAUUAAAUCUAGAACACUAUAUAAAAAAAUAUAUAUAAAUAAAUAAAAGGAAGUGUAGAACGAAAAUAGCAUACUCCUAUUAGCAUAUUUCAAAGAUUUUCUAUAUGAUGCGCUUGAUUAUUACUCAUAUCAAAAGUAAAUUAAAUAUGCACAUUUUUCCAUUAGGUACAAAAGGCCUUGUGUGUGUAGCUUCACUUGAGAUGGUCCACUCAUUGUCCUAUGGCUAAAAUCUGAAAAGAAAAGAAAAAUAUAAAUUUAGUUUCUUAGCUUCUUCGUCUAUCUUUUCUCUCUUUCUCUCUUUUUUUAGAAGAUAUAUAUCUCACUUAUGAGAAUGUGAACGCAAGAGAAGCAAUUUACUAGAAUUAAUCAAGUCCAUUACCACCAUAGCAGGGCCAGGAAAGAUACAUGUAGGAAUAACAAAUUACAAAGACAAGAUUUCAUAUUUCACUACAUGAGCUCAUAUAGAACAUUUACUGUAGUUUCAUUGUAUAACUACUGAUUAAUUAUUAUCACCAAGGUCAAUCAUGAAAACUAGACCUGGAUUACUUUAAACUUUGCCAAAAUGGAUUAAAAGAAAGACUGAAAUGUGCUUCUAUAGAGUAUAACCUGGUUUGAAAUGUCUUAUUCUUGCUCAAAAUUCAAGAUAUUUAGGUCAUAGAAAUGAGCUGCAAUAGGCUAGUUCAAUUCUUUAUAACUUUAUGCAUGCAUUUGAAUAACUUUGUAUUAGCCUAAGCCUCAUUCACAUUCAUCAAUAUAUGUCAUGCACAGAAACGAAGAAAACAGAUCAUUUCAGGGGAUAUCUUGAUCAUGUAGAUCCAUUCAAAUAUUUUAGGGUUUCUAGAUUCUUUAAGUUACUGAUUUAACUUAAAAGAGCACACCCAUAGUCUACUAAAGUAGCAUUAUUUAUGAUAGAUCAGAAAAAGACCAUGCAAAACCAAUGGAAAGAAGGUAUUUUAAUAAAAUAUAAACAUUGUUAAAAUUAACAACCAGCUGCAACAUUAAUAAGAAAGUUUAAUAGCCACUACACCUCAAAGAGCAAAUGUUUGUCUUGUAUUUAAGCAUGAGAAAAAUUGCAAUUAUAAUA
rnacentral:misc_RNA from 1 species